AUAUUAAAUGAUAGUAAUAUUAAAGUAUUUUUGUACUUUCUUGAGUGUUUCCAGAACUGGACUACUCUUACUGCCUUCAAAGCUAACAUCCUAAUCUGAACCCACCACCUUCUUUUGCCUGGAUUAUGAAGACAGUCUCCCAACUGGUCUCACAGGGUUCGUCCUCACUGUCAAGAGGAAACUGUCAUCAGAGCUUACAGAGAGGAGACUGGACGCUGCGAGGCCCAGGCCAGUGUUCUCAGUGGAAGCGAGCAGGGAGGAUCUGGCAGCAGAAGCUUAGCAACGAGGAAGACCCUCUUUCCAGAUGUCCUAGCUCCCCUUCCUCAGUACUUUUUAAAAUAGAAGUUCCAGUAGAAGGUACACAGUGCACGGAGCAGCACCAUGAGAAUGAAGCGCCCUGCUCUUCACUUAUCCAUGGUUUCAGUCAUCCGUGGUCAACUGUGGUUCUGAGACAGAUGGUCCUCCUUCCAACAGAUCCACAGAAGCUCAGCAGUAGCCUAACACUACGUCACCAGGCAUGUCAGUCAUCUCACAUCAUCACAAGGAGGGUGAGUACAGUACAGUAAGGUGUUUUGAGAC
rnacentral:lncRNA from 1 species